GUGGGGCAUGCUGGGACUUGUAGUUUCCCUCUGGGGGGGUCGCCUGAUUGGUUGUGAGAGUUCAGCGCCCUGGGUCCUGCGCCCUCCGUGGAAGCUCCUCCCAGCCUAAUGAUGGAGGCUGGGCAACCAGCACAGUGUUCAGGGUGCUGGGGUUCAUACGUAUUGAAAUCCCAGAGUAGUGGCGGACUUCCCCAUGGGAAUGUCUGAUGAGUACUUUGAAUCACAGAUCUCUGUACAGGCCCUGUUACAAAUGCCACUCCUCAGGGCAUUUCGUGUGUUUUCCUUUGAGGGCUCUUGGGACUUGUAAAUUCAGUUCAAUUCACCUUCUGAGGAAUGGGCCCUGACAAGCUGAAGUCUGAGCCAUAAGCUGCGAUGGAACCUAACCUCUGUGCCCCUUCAAUGUGGAACAUGUGGUCAUCAAAGAAGAUGUGGGGCCGGAUCUUCACCAAGAUGGGACUUUUGGGGGCUCCAGCAAGGAAAAGAGCUUCGUCUAUCUCUAGACCCCAGCGUCGAAGGGUCUUCAGCACACGGGCGCCUGAACUGGCUGCACUCCUAGCUGUAACCAGCCAUCAUCCAUGGAAAGUCCAGAUUAGCCUCCUGGAUGGAUUUGUGAGAAGCAGAGCCUCUCCUCCAAGCCAGAGAAGCCAUUGUGUACCAGCUCGCCCUAUUAGCAUACCAUGUGCCCAGGAGUAAACAGGGACACAGGAGAGAAUUAAGCUGACACCAGGAGACACAGCUGACACUGGGGAGAAGUGGUGAAGACAGCAUCCUGGAAGAGGUGAGACUACUGUCUCUGAAGUUACUACAACUCUUCCAUUAAUUUUGUGAGCUUCCAUCGUUUCCUACAUGAACAUUUAUUAAAAUAUUUCCAAUGCAGACUAUGGAGAGAUAGAGAAGAGAUAAGAAAGAGAAAGAGGUGAGUCGUGAGUGCAGUUGUAAAAUAUAAAUACUUUUAAA
rnacentral:lncRNA from 1 species